CCUACGGGAGGCAGCAGUGAGGAAUAUUGGUCAAUGGGCGUAAGCCUGAACCAGCCAAGUCGCGUGAGGGAUGAAGGUUCUAUGGAUCGUAAACCUCUUUUAUAAGGGAAUAAAGUGUGGGACGUGUCCUAUUUUGUAUGUACCUUAUGAUUAAGGAUCGGCUAACUCCGUGCCAGCAGCCGCGGUAAUACGGAGGAUCCGAGCGUUAUCCGGAUUUAUGGGGUUUAAAGGGUGCGUAGGCGGCCUUUUAAGUCAGCGGUGAAAGUCUGUGGCUCAACCAGAGAAUUGCCGUUGAAACUGGGGGGCGUGAGUAUGUUUGAGGCAGGCGGAAUGCUUGGUGGAGCGGGGAAAUGCUUAGAUAUCACGCAGAACCCCGUUGGCGAAGGCAGUCUGCCAAGCCAUGACUGACGCUGAGGCACGAAAGCGUGGGUAUCGAACAGGAUUAGAUACCCCUGUAGUC
rnacentral:rRNA from 1 species